UUCUAGCUUGCUAGAAGAUGACGAGCGGCGGACGGGUGAGUAAUGCUUGGGAACAUGCCUUGAGGUGGGGGACAACCAUUGGAAACGAUGGCUAAUACCGCAUAAUGUCUACGGACCAAAGGGGGCUUCGGCUCUCGCCUUUAGAUUGGCCCAAGUGGGAUUAGCUAGUUGGUGAGGUAAAGGCUCACCAAGGCGACGAUCCCUAGCUGGUUUGAGAGGAUGAUCAGCCACACUGGAACUGAGACACGGUCCAGACUCCUACGGGAGGCAGCAGUGGGGAAUAUUGCACAAUGGGCGCAAGCCUGAUGCAGCCAUGCCGCGUGUGUGAAGAAGGCCUUCGGGUUGUAAAGCACUUUCAGUCAGGAGGAAAGGUUAGUAGUUAAUACCUGCUAGCUGUGACGUUACUGACAGAAGAAGCAC
rnacentral:rRNA from 1 species